GACAAACGCUGGCGGCGUGCUUAACACAUGCAAGUCGAACGGUCUUCUUUAGGGAAGAUAGUGGCGGACGGGUGAGUAACACGUAGUUAACCUGCCUUUAGGUGGGGAAUAACUCCUCGAAAGAGGAGCUAAUACCGCAUACGCUCUCUGUUGAUAGAUAGAGAGGAAACCUUAGGAGCAAUCCUUGGGGCCGAAAGAGGGGACUGCGGCGGAUUAGCUAGAUGGUGGGGUAAAGCCUACCANGGCGACGAUCCGUAGCUGGUCUGAGAGGACGACCAGCCACACUGGGACUGAGAUACGGCCCAGACUCCUACGGGAGGCAGCAGUGAGGAAUAUUCCACAAUGGGCGAAAGCCUGAUGGAGCGACGCCGCGUGAAGGAAGAAGCCCUUUGGGGUGUAAACUUCUUUUCUGUGGGAUGACAACCCUCGCAAGAGGGCUACGACAGUACCACAGGAAUAAGCCUCGGCUAACUACGUGCCAGCAGCCGCCGUAAG
rnacentral:rRNA from 1 species